GCAGCGAACAAUUAAGAAAUCCAAUGGGGGACAGAGAUAUUUAUCCUGGGAUCGUCUUUCUUUGGGAAGCAUAUGCUUCAACUUUGGAAACUGUAUCAACAAGAAUAAUAUUUCAAAUAAGAAAAUGAUUGAAAAUCUAUAAUUUCGUUUGAUAAAAGCUAUUGAAGUAGAAUAUAUAAUUUAUCACUUAAUAUAUUUUAUUCUUUAUACUUUUAUCCAGAUCAUUCGGCUUUCGCAGAUAUUUGGAAAAUUAAUUUAUUUCUUCUCGGACAGAGCUUUUAUCGUCGUCGAUAGGUGUCAAUCAAAAACAAGUUCCCCUGAUUAGUCGUUCGUUAAAUUUAGUAUACUUGUACAAUGUGACUGUUUUCGCGGGCCCUUUGCCAGGGUAGAUUUCGCCGAUCGACGAACUCCCAAACUAUUCGUCACGGUGAAAUCACAACGAGCCAAGGUGCGAUGUUUUAACUUCUUUCUAUCGCUUCGUUCGCAUAUUGAAAGGAAACAAUAUUUGUAAGUAACAUAUGUACAGAUUAAUCACAAGCCAAAUAUACAUAAAACUAGAAAUAAUUAUAAAUAUAAAUAUUAAUAAUUUAAUUCAGUAAAAAUAUAUCAUUUUUAUCAAAUUAAUUAAUAGAUUUUGAAAGAUUUUUAAUAAAUUUUAGUGGCUUUGAUUGAUUUCUUAUAUCUUCAAAUUAUAUUUUAUUCAAUUAAACAGAAAUAAAACCGCAUUUCGCAAGAACUAAAGAA